GAUGAGGUCGUACGCCGCUAGUGAGGUUCAGUGCAAUGCACCAGACUCUCCUCAAGAUUUUAUUAGUAAGGAUACAAGAAAACUACUAGCAGAGAGAGUUCGCAAUGUUUUGAGUAAAGAGAUGAGUAGCAGUAGCCGUUUGAGACCUACUGUGUCCGACGCAGAGAGCUUACAGAAAUAUACUGAUGAAAUUGAAGAAGACACAAGAAGAAAUGUUCAUAAGAAGGAGCCUUCAUCACCAAGAAACCUCAAAAGAUCACUAUCAGCUCCCGUCUCAGGGACAUCGUUUGGUAAGCUUCUGUUGGAGGAUCGGCAUGUUUUGACUGGGGCGCAGAUCAUGAGGAAGCACGAGGCUGUAAUAACAGAGGGAGAAGAAACAGAACCAGUUGUUGUGGAUCCAAUUAGGAGGAAAGAAAGAUUCAACCUCAGGAAGAAAGUUUCCAGCUUUAGAUCAACUCUGAGAGGAAGAAUCUUUGGUAAGAAGAUACGUUCAAUGAUCGAAUCCAACAGUUUUGAGGAUGAAACGAUCAAAGACUUCGUGACGGGUUCGAGGUUUAACAGCUUUUACGAUCGAAAUGUAAGAACUUUUCUGUCACCAUUUCGAGGUGUCCUUAUGAUCUAAACUGAGACAAGUUUUGUGUUCUGUUUUUUCUUUUCUCUCAGGAGAAUUCAACAGAAGUGCCUCCAAGCCCUGCAUCAAUCUGCAGCAGUACACCAGAAGAGUUUUGGCGAAAUGUCGAUUAUCUCAGCCAGGUUUCGACUCCCGAUGUGACUGUAUCUGAUGAGAAUGGUAUGCCUCAAGUCUUCAGAGACAUCAGUUCCAAUCUAAGUGGUAAGACUCCUCUCUUUUUUUUCUUAAAUGUAGACGAUUUAAUAAAUAUUUCAAUAAUUGUUUUUUAAUACAAAUUUGGGUGUUAAUAUUUAAGUAAUUUUCUUCAAAAAUUUGGGGGCUAUAAACCAAUGUUUCAUUUGGCUUUAUCCGACCGGCCCUGCUCACACACUCUUGGAAGUGUUUCUUAUUCUCUGUUUCUGCUGAUUCACAGAACUAAGAAGGCAGAUAAAUGAGCUUGACUCAGAUAUACAAGUGCCGACCCCUGUGGAAGAAGAAACUGCUCGAGAGAUUGAGAUUACCGUUGACUUAGGAAAUCCAGAUAAGACAUUUGUUAGAGAUCUUCUUGUGGCUUCUGGUUUGUAUGAAGGGACAACAGAUAGAUCCUUGUCUAGAUGGGAUCCAUUUGCAAAGCCUAUAAACAAGUCUGUUCUUGAAGAAACUAAAGAGAAUCUCAAGAAGAGAAACAAUCAGAAUCAAGAAGGCGAAGAGGAUAUUGAAGAUAAUCACUCUCUCUCUCUCUCUCUCUCUCUGUCUGAAUACGACUUUCCCUCUGUUCCCCCAUUUCUUCUCUCUCAUCCUCUCACAUUCUCUCUAUUAUCGAGGCUUCAUUGAUUCACCAGAGACAAUCUCAUUGAAUAUAGUUUUUACCCCUCUCGAUCGAUUCAUUGCGUAAAGCUCGUCUCCUGUGUUCUAUUCUGUUCUGUUCCUGUUUCAGACUCUGUCUUUUUUCUUUUUCUAAUCCAGAAUUGGCUCUGUUCUUCUACUUUCUGUGUAAUAAAGUUUUAUCCUUUCUUCUCUUUUAAGACAAUCAAUAUUCCGAAGUUCACUCUCUUUUGUCGGAUUCCUUAUAUGAUUCAUCAGAUCGGAAGUAUUCACUUUCUCUACAUCUAUUAACUUUUCUUUCACCGGAGAGAUCCGAUCGCCGGAGAAUGGGAGGCUUAUUGCAUCUCUUCGAUUUCCACAACAACAGUUUCUCCCGGAGAGUUUUCUCUCAUCACAAAACCCGUGACGAAGGUGAAAUUUACAUAGGAAAAAAAUUCAAAUCUAGAUUUCUUGGUUCAUAUUUCGAAGAUUCGAUUAAUCAAAUCAUCUUUAUAUUUUAUUUUCUGGCAGAUCUGGAAGCUCCUAGGAAUAGUUUUGAGCUUCAAGUUGACAAUCUUCACACUUACCAUAACGACAAAGAUAAACCGGUAAUUUAAACCGAACUUCUCUUUUUUCUCUUCUUUUUAAUCACGGCAAAACCUUGUCAUAACAGGUUUUGACCAUCAUUUUUUUAAGAAAUCGAAUAUAUUAAUUACUAAAUGAGUUUUUUUUUUUUUUUUUUAAUAUUAAUUUAACAGCCGAGUUAUGGAUUUGAGGAAGAUGAAUGGUAUGAGAGAAGCUGUUACCCCAUCGAGGAAUCAAUGAAGAAGAAGAUCAUCGAAGAGCUCUCAAAACGUUCCAACGAUAAACAUAAUUCCCCAAGUCUUGUAGCUAAGCUGAUGGGAAUGGAAGCACUUCCUUUGGAGUCAACUAAAUCAACGGCUUGGAUCAAUCCUCGCCAGACUGCUAAAGUGGAUCACUCUCAUGAGAAAGGAGGAGGGAAAAGAAACAAAAAGGAGAGGAGAUUAGCCUCAUCGGCAGUGAAUGUAGUGGAGAGAAAUGAUAUUAUUAAUCCACCAGUGCGUAGAAAACAUCCUCAAGAAGAAGAGCUUCAAAGAUUCAGAAGAGAGUUCGAAGCAUGGCAAGCUGAUAAAAGGUCUAAAGAGUGUUCAAGAAUCAUCGAUUCCGGCUCCGUGGCGGCGGAGAAAGAGAGGCUCUUCACAAGAACUAGAAGCUUCGGUCGAGAUUUCAACUUGAAAUCAGACAGAACCGGUCCAACUAAGAUCGUGGUUUUAAGACCUGGUCUUCAGAGAGUGUACGAUUACGAAGACUCGUUAACUACUUCUUCAGGGACGACCAUGGAAGGAAGCAGCAUCGAAGAGUUUCUUGAGGAAGUGAAGGAGAGGCUAAAAGGUGAGCUUCAAGGAAGAGCUGCUCUCAAGAGAAGCUCAUCAGUGAGGGGAAGCGGCAUCGAGACACCUUUCAGCGAAAGACCUUUUCCGAGAUCCGAAUCGAUGAGGUCGUACGCCGCUAGUGAGGUUCAGUGCAAUGCACCAGACUCUCCUCAAGAUUUUAUUAGUAAGGAUACAAGAAAACUACUAGCAGAGAGAGUUCGCAAUGUUUUGAGUAAAGAGAUGAGUAGCAGUAGCCGUUUGAGACCUACUGUGUCCGACGCAGAGAGCUUACAGAAAUAUACUGAUGAAAUUGAAGAAGACACAAGAAGAAAUGUUCAUAAGAAGGAGCCUUCAUCACCAAGAAACCUCAAAAGAUCACUAUCAGCUCCCGUCUCAGGGACAUCGUUUGGUAAGCUUCUGUUGGAGGAUCGGCAUGUUUUGACUGGGGCGCAGAUCAUGAGGAAGCACGAGGCUGUAAUAACAGAGGGAGAAGAAACAGAACCAGUUGUUGU
rnacentral:lncRNA from 1 species